AUGGCGAGGUCUGCUGGUCGGUGGGCCGUUGCGGCGGCGAUAGUGCUGCUGCUGCUGACCACGGCGUCAUCAGCAUCGGCAGCAGCAGGUGUCGAUUCAGCAACGACGGCACCGGCCAAGGUGUGGCAGCUCCCUCCAAGAUUCCCUACAGAGCCCUUCCCGGUGCCAAGGCCCCCUUCUUCGUCGUCGUGGAAGGCGGUGAAAUCGUCUCUUCCUCCUCGCCACCGCCUCCCCACGGAGCCGCCGUCGGAAAAGCGUACGUAA
rnacentral:rRNA from 1 species